rnacentral:rRNA from 1 species
ACCAGACUCCUACGGGAGGCAGCAGUGGGGAAUAUUGGGCAAUGGGCGCAAGCCUGACCCAGCAACGCCGCGUGAAGGAAGAAGGCCCUCGGGUUGUAAACUUCUUUUGUCAGGGACGAAGAAAGUGACGGUACCUGACGAAUAAGCCACGGCUAACUACGUGCCAGCAGCCGCGGUAAUACGUAGGUGGCAAGCGUUAUCCGGAUUUACUGGGUGUAAAGGGCGUGUAGGCGGGACUGCAAGUCAGAUGUGAAAUUCCAGGGCUCAACCCUGGAACUGCAUUUGAAACUGUAGUUCUUGAGUGAUGGAGAGGCAGGCGGAAUUCCGUGUGUAGCGGUGAAAUGCGUAGAUAUUAGGAGGAACACCGGUGGCAAAGGCGGCCUGCUGGACUGUGACUGACGUUGAGGCCCGAAGGCGUGGGGAGCAAACAGGAUUAGAUACCCCAGUAAG